GGCUUAGACUGAACGCUGGCGGCACGCUUUACACAUGCAAGUUCGGACGGCAGCACAGAGAAGCCUCGCUUUCUCGGGCGGCGAGCGGCGAACGGGCGAGUAACAUAUCGGAACGUACCGAGCAGUCGGGGGAUAACUAAUCGAAAGAUUAGCUAAUACCGCAUAUUUUCUGAGGAAGAAAGCAGGGGACCAUUUCGGCCUCGCGCUGUUUGAGCGGCCGAUAUCUGAUUAGCUAGUUGGUGGGGUAAAGGCCUACCAAGGCGACGAUCAGUAGCGGGUCUGAGAGGAUGAUUCCGCCACACUGGGACUGAGACACGGCCCAGACUCCUACGGGAGGCAGCAGUGGGGAAUUUUGGACAAUGGGCGCAAGCCUGAUUCCAGCCAUGCCGCGUGUCUGAAGAAGGCCUUCGGGUUUGUAAAGGACUUUUGUCAGGGAAGAAAAGGGCGGGGUUUAAUACCCCUGUCUGAUGACGGUACCUGAAGAAUAAGCACCGGCUAACUACGUGCCAGCAGCCGCGGUAAUACGUAGGGUGCGAGCGUUAAUCGGAAUUUACUGGGCGUAAAGCGGGCGCAGACGGUUACUUUAGCAGGAUGUGAAAUCCCCGGGCUCAACCUGGGAACUGCGUUCUGAACUGGGUGACUAGAGUGUGUCAGAGGGAGGUAGAAUUUCCACGUGUAGCAGUGAAAUGCGUAGAGAUGUGGAGGAAUACCGAUGGCGAAGGGCAGCCUCCUGGGGAUAACACUGACGUUCAUGCCCCGAAAGGCGUGGGUAGCAAACAGGAUUAGAUACCCUGGUAGUCAACGGCCCUAAAGAAUGUCGGAUUAGCUGUUGGGCAGCAUGACUGCUUAGUAGGAAAGUAAACGGCGUGAAAAUCGACCGCCUGGGGAGUACGGUCGGCAAAGAUUAAAACUUCAAAAGGGAAAUUGACGGGAACCCGCACGAAGCGGUGGAUGAAUGUGGAUUGAAUUCGAUGCAACGCGAAAACCCUUGACCUGGUUCUUGAACAUGUUACGGAACUCCUCCAGAGAACGGAAGGGGUGGCCUUUCGGGAAGCCUGAACACAAGUGCUGCAUGGCUGUUCGUCAGCUCGUGUCGUGAGAUGUUGAGGUUGAAGUCCCGCGAACGAAGCGCAACCCUUGUCAUUAGUUGCCAUCAUUGAAGUUGGGCGCUCUGAAUGAGACUGCCGGUGACGAAGGCCGGAGGAAAGGUGGGGAAUGAACGUCGAAGUUCCUCGUGGCCCUUAUGA
rnacentral:rRNA from 1 species